UACGUAAGGCGCAAGCGUUGUCCGGAAUUAUUGGGCGUAAAGAGCUCGUAGGCGGUUUGUCGCGUCUGUCGUGAAAGCCCACGGCUUAACCCCGGGUCUGCAGUGGAUACGGGCAGGCUAGAGGCAGGCAGGGGAGAACGGAAUUCCCGGUGUAGCGGUGAAAUGCGCAGAUAUCGGGAGGAACACCAGUGGCGAAGGCGGUUCUCUGGGCCUGUUCUGACGCUGAGGUGCGAAAGCGUGGGGAGCAAACAGG
rnacentral:rRNA from 1 species